rnacentral:rRNA from 1 species
AGUGAACGCUGGCGGUAGGCCUAACACAUGCAAGUCGAACGGCAGCACAGUAAGAGCUUGCUCUUACGGGUGGCGAGUGGCGGACGGGUGAGGAAUACAUCGGAAUCUACUUUUUCGUGGGGGAUAACGUAGGGAAACUUACGCUAAUACCGCAUACGACCUACGGGUGAAAGCAGGGGAUCUUCGGACCUUGCGCGAUUGAAUGAGCCGAUGUCGGAUUAGCUAGUUGGCGGGGUAAAGGCCCACCAAGGCGACGAUCCGUAGCUGGUCUGAGAGGAUGAUCAGCCACACUGGAACUGAGACAGGGUCCAGACGACUAAGGGAGGCAGCAGUGGGGAAUAUUGGACAAUGGGCGCAAGCCUGAUCCAGCCAUACCGCGUGGGUGAAGAAGGCCUUCGGGUUGUAAAGCCCUUUUGUUGGGAAAGAAAAGCAGCAGGUUAAUACCCCGCUGUUCUGACGGUACCCAAAGAAUAAGCACCGGCUAACUUCGUG